rnacentral:misc_RNA from 1 species
AGUUAGCAGGUAUCAGUUUAUGGGUGGGAUAUAGGUAGACAGAACUGCAGUUUCUCAAAUCGAUGGGCCUAGUAUUUAAGGUUCAGCGGAGCUUAUUAGUGUGGAUCAUAACGUGAUUAUAUACAACCUGUCUACCCGUCAACCUAAUCUGUGAGUAAAGAACAGUGGAAAGAGUAUAUCAAUAUCUAAACUCUGUCGAUGAUCCUGCCAUCAGGAAACCCAAACAAACAACAAAUUAGAAACAACAUGAAGAAUCAUGGCGACGGUUCAACACCUUUCGCGCAGAAAGAUGGCCGAUCAUGGCGACCACAGUAAUGGAUCACUUCCGCUCAUAAAUGCACCUAUAAAAGAAACCCCAAAAUCAGAAAAAGCGGACAAAGAGAAUCAGCAGCUGACAAAAUUACCGUCCAUUUACAUUCCCACGGUUCCUGUGUCAAGGUCGCCAAAUCUGACCAUCCAGUUGACCGACUUUCUGAAAAGUCCUCCAAACAGUAUCCAAGGUGACAAACAUCGGGAGCCUGACCUCAAGGUCAACAUUAUAGCACGGGACAAAGCCAUCCAGCUUCUUCAGCAGUAUAAUGACAUUGUAGGGGGAGACGAAAACCUGGCUGUCAAAAACCUACCCCCGAUUAAAGUUUCCAUCCGCCCAAGCGGGGCCGAUUUGGGAUUCAAGAAGGAGAAAAUGUCUAAGAAGCCUUCUGUGUUUACGGAAGGUAUAAGUUCCAUUAGCAAGCGGCAGGAACCUUUUUUCACGGUACCUAAAGAAAGCAUUAUUCGCGCCAAUCUUCCCGAAGUGUUGUGGUGGCGCAGAAGAAAAACCAGUUCACGUUUGGAGUCAAAAAUAAGAAACAGAAAAAAGACGACAAGGGUGAACAAUUGCAUUUUAAACAGAUGAAGAAACUGGGACUUGAUAGUAUGCCGGCGGUAGACAUGGGUAGAUACUUCAGCAAAUCUCACAUGAUGAAGGAAAGUCUUAAUUUGCGUAGUGGAAUAAAGGGCGGAUAUUUUAAAAGUCCAAGAAAGAACGACGACAGAUCGGAGGAUGACAACCAUACAACAAGAGGAUACGAAACAGACAGACCAAGAAUAUUGUCGAAGAAAACUUACCCCCAGAUCACUUCACGAUCAGAAAGCAAAGUGAGUGUGAUAUCACUGGGAGAUUCUCUAGGGCCCUCCUACCUAACUAAAAGUCGCAGAAACCUGAAAAAUGAUUUUCCCUUUUAUGAUCUACAUGGUCAAAACGAGGCUCUAAAGAUGAAAUAUCCGUCACGUGACCCGUCCGUAUUCGGAGUGUGUUCGCUGGCUCCAAUUCACGUUGGCGGUCAGUUACAGAGGGUCGGAACUCUUGAUCCAACCUUGCAAGGACCACAAAGGUCCAAUAAAUCUCUCAAAGGCAAAAAGAAAUCCACCAAAGGCAAAAAGAGAGAAACUCAUAGUGAUCUUGGGCCAUGGCAAAAUGAGGUCGUCAUUCCGACUGAGUUUCAGAACGAGACUGGCGAGCUUCUACGGAUGGGUGAGGAAGGACAUGUAUAUUCAGAGUACUCAGACACAAUGUCCUAUCAGAGAGAACUACUUUUACGUAAAAACAUGGCGAGUCCAACAGGUAGUGAAUCCACUUUGACGACUCACACCCAAAUGGUCAACCCGCCACCAUCAUACGUUUCCAGUAACGAUGAUGAAUAUUUCAGACAGUUUGACAACCACCGAGCAAUGCUUCAAAUCAAAGAAGAGCGCUCGAAUCUGACUCUUGAAAAUGUGGAAGCACACAACAGAGAUAUGCUUGAAAUUAAUUCAGUGACCAACAGCUUCGUCAGAAAGAAAAAGGAAGGUCGAAAAGGUAGAGUAAAACCCGAACCCAAGAUCGUCAAUCUAGAAAUAGACGGCGAAAAGAACAGACAGACUUCUGUCAUUGAAGACGGCUUGUUUUUAACAGUGCCCUCCGUAAAUCAAGACAAAGAGAGAAGACCUCAUUUGGUCAAACCAGACAUCGAUAGACAUCACAAUGAACCUGAAGUCAGCUGGUACAGCUCGCGUUCUGAAAAUGACAAUCUUAAAGUUGCUGUGAAAAACAUUCAGUUGUACAACGACCAAAACCAGAACAUCGAUAGCAAUAUUGCCACACCGGAAAUCAACGUCACUUCCGACGGUAGUGAUACUGAGAUUAUAUUGAAAGCAACUGGGGGCGGUUCCAAAGAAAAUCUCGCGAGGGCAGAUACUGAGGAGGAAUUCAAAAAAUUUACUAUGUCGAGCAAAACGAUGCAUUUCAUUUCUCCCCUGCAAGUAAUCGACAAUGCUAAAAGACAUUAAAAAUGAAGAGGUUCUCUUUCCAUUGACAAUCGCCCAUCAUAACUUGCUAGUUACACUUUUUGUGUUCUCGUUUUUUGUCUCCAUCUUAAAACCCAAGUGUUCGUCUGCAUCACAAAAAAUGAAAUACACUAUAUAGGGAUCCUUGACUUGCACUGUUUGGUCGAACAGUCGUGCCAGUUGACUUAUUUGAGGCAAUGGCCGAUAAAGCCAAAAUCGCACCUUGUUACAUUUGAAUGUUAUUAUCACUGUUGUGAAUUGUUGAUUGUCUGUUUACAAAUUAUAGUGCUUUUAGGAGCAAACCCGUGUCAGCGACGUUUGACAUUUCGUUAUUCGCUAUUUAUUGACAUUAAAUUUG